ACAAAUUAGAGUGUAAAUGUCUUUUUUAAAACAUUAAAAAACUUUUUAUCCCUUUACCUAAAUGUUAGGGGUGUGUUUAUCCUUUUCCCUAAAAAAAAAAUGUACAUCUAAUUGUCUUACAAUGGGUCAAGAACAAAAGGUUAAAGGAUAAUAUACGUGGACAUGAUAAUGCAGAAACCGAAAAUCAAAAGGGCACGAGUUUCAAAUGCUAGACAAAUGAAAGAGACGUGUGAUUGCAGGUCGAUUUUCUUCUCAUCACUAGCCACUAGCACACAUCCCCUUAAUCAAAAUCUUUUUCAAUAUUGUUUAUUAUAUAAAUGGAUAUUGGUAGUGGUUGAACUUCUAUUAUUUAAUUAUGUUGUCAUUUUCCAUCACUACAACAACAGAUGAUUCAUAUAGGAUCGGUCAAAAAUUGUUGCCCAAUGUUUUGUCUUUUUCAUAAUUUAGUUAUUUUUGUUCAUAUGUCUGACGAAGAAGUUUUAAUUUUGCAAGAGGAAUUCAAGUUGAUAAGACCUUGUCGACUUGUCUUCUGCUGCAGAAUCCUGAUAAUCAUGCCAAAUUCAAAAAGUGGCAAAAGCAAAAGGCUAACUUCUUAAUGAAUUCAAUAUUAUUAUGAAUUUGGUGCUAGCUCAAUCUUGAAAAUGAUCCAAAAAUUAAAAAGUAAACAUAUAAUAAUCACAUCUACACAUGUACAUUAUUAGUGAGUCAUUGAUGAUAUAUCACGAAUUCAUUA
rnacentral:lncRNA from 1 species